UUGAUUUUCUUUUCUCUUCAGACGAUGAGGAUAAAGAUAAACAUGGUGAAAACAAGUCAGAUGAAGAUAAACAUGGUGAAAAUGAGGCAGUUGAAUUGUCUAACCGGACCAAAAGAAUGUCCAUAGAGAUUGGACCCAGCAGCUUUGCUUCAAGAAAGAAGAAGAGUAAGAAAAGCUCGAAGUGAAGCCACAUUUCUUCAGGUAUUCCUCAAUAAUCCAACUAUAUCUCGCUUCCUUAGGCGUACACAGAUGCCUCCGUUCGCCAUUUUCGGUAUGCUUCAUCGCUCCAGGUGCCAAUUUUUCCAGCUUAACUUUACGUUUAACUAAUCACCAUGCACUUUUAUCGUCCUCCUUAAUGUUCUUAGCUUUAGCUAGCUUAUAUAUAUAGCCAAUUUGAAUCUUUAUUGAGCAGGCUUCUGUUUUGCUCUCUUUUCCCUUCUUUUGUAGACAUGGAUAUAUAGAUUGGUUCAUAAUAUUUAAUACAUUUCUCACUCGUGA